UCAACUUGCUGUGAGCUUGUAAUGAUUUUUAUUGUCAGUUCAUUCAAAGUACUGUGUUGUUUUGUCGUUCUUGCUUUUAAAAACUUUGGUCACAGAUGAAAAGCUUGUGAUCUGCCCCAUUAAUGACUUGCAUCUAUUCAAAUGAUGUGGAUGCUAAGAAAAUGAGCAAAGACAUGGGAAGUAUUUAUAUAAAAAGAAAUGGCAGCCAGGUAUCUUGUUGAUAUUAGUCACUUGUCAUUGCCAUCACUGCAACAUCUUUGCAUAUCUGUUGUGGACAUGUGGCACUGUGAUCAUAAGCACUUGGUGUAAACCUGGGGAGGGCAGAGCCAUGGUGGUAGAACGAGGCUGAAACUCAUCCCUGCUCAGAGGAUGGUUCCUUUCCUGCUUUCCUGUGCUCCUCCAGCCGCAUACCAAAGGUUCUUUCACUGCUCAGCUGGUUGUUGGCUAACUUGGCUACAAAGGGAAGGGCAGGAGAUGCCAGUGACCGUCUUGCUUGCACCCUAUCCUCCAUUUGUCUGUGUGGGCUAGUUUGGAUAUAGGAAGUCUUUGCUGGGACGUUCCUUCUUCCUCUUGAUGACAAACUGUGGCUGUCCUGUUUUCUGACUGGUAGCUGGUUGGUUACAUUGACAGAUGUUGCAAUGAUUCUUUUGGCAAUAUUCUGUUGUGCUGACUGUUCAAACAGGAAAUUCAUCUUUUAGUAUUUGCACAUGUUAAAUGUUUGUUUUAGUAGGAAUCGCUCUGACAGUAGGCUGGUCAAACAGUGUAUUUUUGGAGCGGCAAACUCUGGAAUUCUCAAAGUCCUCAUCGUCCCAUAGAUCUGGGGCUUGGCUUGGAGCCCUGUUCCCUGAAAUACCACAGAACUGGCUUCUGAGGAGAGGCGACGUGAGCUGCUGAGCUCCAGGUUGCUGCUGUUUCCCUCCCUCAGGAUGACGUGUUCCUGCAUGUGUUGGAUGGCACCUGGCUCACAUCGUGCCGUGGUGUGGCACUCUGGGACACCUAGGAAGGUUUGCUGCGUGAUGGAGUCCAUGCUGUCUCCAUCCUCCCUUCAGUCUCCAAAUGCCUGGCUUACCAAGGAGGCCUCUUGUCUCAUGUUCAUGGAAGAGAACAGGAAGGUGACUGUGGCUGUGCUGCAUGUUGGAAAGUGAGGACAUGCUCAGGAAGCAUGGAACAAUGUCUAGCCAGAGAACUUAGUCUGAUGAAGCAAGUUUUCAUCUAAGCCUGCUUGUCUGGUGACAAGUCCCAUUUCAGGUGACUCAGUUUGGCCUUAGUAGGCUUCUCCUUUCACGAACAGUUUGCAAAUGCUGGUGUGAUUUAAUGUAAUGCGUUCUAACUUGUUCCCUAAGUUUUCACCAACCAAAACUGUGUGCACUUGUCUGCGAGCUGAGAGUGGCUGUCUCCUUGUAAGCAGUGGCAUUACAGAUACCCUGCCUGAGGCCCAUUCCUUCAGCUGAAGUUUAUAAAAUGUCAGCAGUUCUAAUAUUUACUCCUUUUCAGCACAGGCAGCGUACUUACAGAUGAGCUUAUUAUGAGAAGAAGCCGCAUACAGACAGGAUUCUGCUACCUGUGGCAGAAAAAAGGUUUGAUCUGCGCAGGACCUCUCCAGACCCCUUCACCCUCACUUGGGAGGAAAAAUCGAACAGCAAGAAGGACAUGCUCAGAGGAGUUGGAUUACAGCUUACACGUGUAUUCGAACCCAGAGUUACACAACUGCAUGAAGAGCUGUGUGCAGAAAUGCUUUCUGAUUUCUGCUUACAACAGCCUAGGUACAAAAUCCCUGUUAUUUGUAAAGGAAACAGAAACGUUUGCUAGGUAGAGAAUUGCUGAAAAUGCUACACCUGCAAGAAGGUAGAAGAGUCCUUGAGAAUUCAGUGCUGGUUAGCACUGAUGAAACACAGGAUAGAUGGUGAAAUAUAUCCUUCAAAAACUGA